rnacentral:rRNA from 1 species
UACGGAGGGUGCAAGCGUUAUCCGGAUUCACUGGGUUUAAAGGGUGCGUAGGUGGCUUGGUAAGUUCGAUGUGAAAUCUCCGGGCUUAACCCGGAAAUGGCAUUGAAUACUAUUGAGCUGGAGGUUUGGAGGGGGGACUGGAAUUCUCGGUGUAGCAGUGAAAUGCGUAGAUAUCGAGAGGAACACCAGUGGCGAAGGCGAGUCCCUGGACAACACCUGACACUGAGGCACGAAAGCCAGGGGAGCAAACGGG